rnacentral:rRNA from 1 species
AUGAAGACCUUUCUCAUCCUUGCACUCCUUGCUAUUGUAGCAACCACCGCCACAAUUGCAGUUAGAGUUCCAGUGCCACAAUUGCAGCCACAAAAUCCAUCUCAGCAACAACCACAAGAGCAAGUUCCAUUGGUACAACAACAACAAUUUCCAGGGCAGCAACAACCAUUUCCACCACAACAGCCAUAUCCGCAGCCGCAACCAUUUCCAUCACAACAACCAUAUCUGCAGCUGCAGCCAUUUCCGCAGCCGCAACUACCAUAUCCGCAGCCGCAUCUACCAUAUCCGCAGCCGCAACCAUUUCGACCACAACAACCAUAUCCACAACCGCAACCACAGUAUUCGCAACCACAACAACCAAUUUCGCAGCAGCAGCAACAACAACAACAACAACAACAACAACAGAUCCUUCAACAAAUUUUGCAACAACAACUGAUUCCAUGCAGGGAUGUUGUAUUGCAACAACACAGCAUAGCGCAUGGAAGCUCACAAGUUUUGCAACAAAGUACUUACCAGCUGGUGCAACAAUUGUGUUGUCAGCAGCUGUGGCAGAUCCCCGAGCAGUCGCGGUGCCAAGCCAUCCACAAUGUUGUUCAUGCUAUUAUUCUGCAUCAACAACAACAACAACAACAACAACAACAACAACAACAACCGUUGAGCCAGGUCUCCUUCCAACAGCCUCAACAACAAUAUCCAUCAGGCCAGGGCUCCUUCCAGCCAUCUCAGCAAAACCCACAGGCCCAGGGCUCUGUCCAGCCUCAACAACUGCCCCAGUUUGAGGAAAUAAGGAACCUAGCGCUAGAGACGCUACCUGCAAUGUGCAAUGUCUAUAUCCCUCCAUAUUGCACCAUUGCUCCAGUUGGCUUCUUCGGUACUAACUGA